rnacentral:tRNA from 1 species
UCCCUGGUGGCUUGAGGGUAAAGCGUCUGCCUGCAAUGCAGGAGACCCAGGUUUGAUCCUCUGGUCGGGAA